rnacentral:rRNA from 1 species
AUUGAACGCUGGCGGCAGGCCUAACACAUGCAAGUCGAACGAGUGGCGGACGGGUGAGUAAUGCCUGGGAAUCUGGCUUAUGGAGGGGGAUAACUACGGGAAACGGUAGCUAAUACCGCAUACCAUCGGAUGAGCCCAAGUGGGAUUAGGUAGUUGGUGGGGUAACGGCUCACCAAGCCGACGAUCCCUAGCUGGUCUGAGAGGAUGACCAGCCACACUGGAACUGAGACACGGCCCAGACUCCUACGGGAGGCAGCAGUGGGGAAUAUUGCACAAUGGGGGCAAGCCUGACGCAGCCAUGCCGCGUGAAUGAAGAAGGCCUUCGGGUUGUAAAGUACUUUCAGUGGGGAGGCGUUAACUGCAGAAGAAGCACCGGCUAACUCCGUGCCAGCCGCCGCGGUAAUAC